CAAAUUUUUGGUGACAUGAAAGUGAAAGUACAGGUAUUUAAACGGGUUCUCCCGGGCCUUCUCGGCUUCGGGUGCCAGUCCGGCCCGAUGGGAUUUUGGGGCGUGACAAAAGUGGUAUCAGAGAGGUUCGUCCUAGUGAGUCUACAAAGCCGUGUCUACGUAGAGUCUUGUUUAUCGGUGUGUUGUGCACCACAUCUAUAA
rnacentral:lncRNA from 1 species